rnacentral:rRNA from 1 species
UACGUAGGGGGCAAGCGUUAUCCGGAUUUACUGGGUGUAAAGGGAGCGUAGACGGCGAUGCAAGCCAGAUGUGAAAGCCCGCGGCUCAACCGCGGAACUGCAUUUGAAACUGUUUUUCUUGAGUAUCGGAGAGGUAACCGGAAUUCCUAGUGUAGCGGUGAAAUGCGUAGAUAUUAGGAAGAACACCAGUGGCGAAGGCGGGUUACUGGACGACAACUGACGGUGAGGCGCGAAAGCGUGGGGAGCAAACAGG